AUGAACUGCGUCUCUAGUGGAAAUCUGCAAAGUUCCUCUAAUCCCACAAAAGUAAAAAAGAAAACGGUUUGCUUAUUCCACAGUAACCCCCGCCCUGUGGGGCAGAGCCGUGUCGGUGGGUCCGCUCCUGGAGGCUCUGGCUGUGGGGAGGGCCUCCUGGGGGCACAUUGGGGUGCGCAGUGCUGCGUGUCGCACCCCAGGGCCGUGUCCCCCCCCUCCCCCCGCCCCCCCAACCGGCAGCAGCAGCUCUGCCUUUUGCUGCGCUUCCCCGGCGCCGGUUAUGCAAGUGGCUUGGGAAGCCGCGCAAAUUGCAGCAGGAAGAAAUCAUCGCGCGGCUCUGGUGGGAAAAGCUGUUAUCGGCGCUGCUGGCGAGCCCGGCUGCGGCAGUGCCACGUUCCAGGCUGUGACCCAGACACGUCCAUCAGCAGCAGAACCGGGACAUGGCAUGGACAGCCCCUGGUCCCACCUCUCCCAUGAUCACACCCAGAGCCCUUUUCCUGCAGCCCCAGCCCUACACGUGGGCACACUCCUCUCUCGGCUCUGCAGCCUUCAGCACCUCUAACUCCUUGCUAAUCCUCUUCAGUUGACCACCAUUACAUCUAUCGACAAAUACCAUCUAACGACAACUUCUCCUCCACCUCUUCAAGAGGGAACUCAGACCCACAAACACUUCCUUCCCCCAAACUCUCUCUCCACGGAGGGCCCUGACAACAAACAACGACGUGUCAUUUGUUUUUAUUACUCCAGGAGGGCAAGCUGCUGUGCGUGACCAAGGAAACCGAGCGCUGGCUGCCCUUGUGAACUUGCUGAGCGCCUGAUGGAGAGCGUGAGGAGUGGAGAGCUGGGGGAGCAUGGAAAACAUCGCUUCCCCUCUGCUCAUUGGAGGAGGAGAGAUUGAUUGACUGUACUUGCUAUAGCGGAGAGCGCAUCGUGGUAGGCACAGAAGUGUGGUUAGCGCUGGAGAACCACUGGCCGUGGGGUGAGCACACGGCGGGGUGAGCAGCUCGGGGUGCUGUGCCAGGAUGGUGCUUUUGGUGACGUACCAAAAGAGGUGGUCAAUAAGAGCAGUUGGAUUUGCCGCGCCUGUGACGGCUUCAGCAUCGGAGUCAUUUCUAAGAAGGACAGUUUUGUGUUCACCCCAUUUGGAUGCUCUCAGCCUCCAGUUUUCCAUAAAGGUGCAGAGCAGCGUGCGCUGGCAAAGGGACAGCAGCGUGGAGGGAGAAGGGAAGGAAUGAAGGUCACAGUGUCGCGCAGCACUGUGGGACUGCUGCGGGGGCGGUGGGGGUUGAGGACAGCUCCAGGGGACGAUCCAACCCUCGUGGCACGGGGAGCGAGCUGGCACCG
rnacentral:lncRNA from 7 species